UCUUUAAAUACCCCACAUCUUGAAGCUUCCUUUCCCUCAUCGUUGUCUUUUCUCUUCAUCUUCAUCUUCAUCUUCUUUUUUUUCUUUUUUCUUUUUUUUUAAUCUUUUCCCUUGCCAUGCUACUAGAGCUCUCAAGUUCUUGUUUUUCCCUUGUCAUCUUCAAAUCUUCUUAAUCGUUUGUUUCAUUCACCUCCUCAGUUUAUCAAUUUUCACAGAGGAGAGGAACCUGAGGUUGCACCCUUGUUUUGUGAAUUUGUGAUCUGCUCUGGUUCUCUGGGGCUGCUACUGCAAUCUUUGAUUUGUAUUGCUCACUUUCACCAUGUAAAAUUGUGUUAUAAACAAAGGGAUAAAAUUGGGUUUUUAAGAAUAUAUAGUGGGCAAUUUUGGAAAAUUUGCACAACCUCCAAUGAUAACCUAAAAAACACUUUAGUACAAUGAUGCUAUUUGCUGCUUUCUCGAUUUGUGUUUUUCCUUCGCAAAAGAAAAUGCAGCUUUUAACAAAAAAAAAGCGGAGGAAAAAGAAAAAAAAAAAAGAAAAAAAAGAAAAGAAAAGUAAGCAACUUUGAAAUCCUUGCCAAACGCACGUGAUAUUUUUUUUUGUUUCAAAACGUGCAUUUCAGCUUCUCAAAUGAAACAAACGGCACUUACACGUUUAUCACAUCAGAGAAAAUAGAAGGGAGAGCGAGAAAGAACGCAGCACAAAGAGAGAGGGAGAAGGCCGGUGGAGAUCAAAGUGUCGCCGGAAGGACAAAGCCGGCGGAGAUCGGCGUUCACCAAGCGGCAGAGCCUCGUCCGCCUCCCCACCGCCAGAAUGGAAUUUCAGUUUCAGGGUCAUCAAAGCUGUUGGCCAAUAUUCUGUACUCAUGGGCUUAUCUGUUGGGAACUUGAUUGCUAGAUGGGAUGAAAUGGGACUUCCACUCUAUCCAAUUUUGGGGAUGUUUGGAGCAGACAAAUUUGAUGCUAUUCUUCUUCCAGGCUAGCUGAGUGAUCAAUAAUAAUAGGUAGGCUUUUUAUUUGCAUUCAUGCCCAUCAUGGCUUUGAAAUGAUUGAAAUAUUUUGUUGGCAAAAGACCAUGGAAUUCAUUGUGUGAGAGGUCUAUGAUUCGCAAAUUAGGGAAAGAGAAUUUGGUUUUGGGACUGGCUAUGGCACCAUGAAACUUGUUUGAUCGCAAAACAAGAACCCGUAACUCUGGAAGACUCUCCAACCAAUGAGGGAAGGUGCCACUUAUCUUGUUACCAAGAUCUAGUACUUCCAACCUUCGGCAAUUGAUCAACGAUCUUGGCAAUGACCCUUCCAACUGAUUGUCAUUGAGGUUAAGACUUCUCAAGUAGUUUCCCUUUGCAGAAGUUGCUGGAAUGGUGCCAUUAAGUUUGUUACUUCUCAAAUCUAAAACUGUGAGAACUUUCCAGCAACUUCUGCAAAGGGAAACUACUUGAGAAGUCUUAACCUCAAUGACAAUCAGUUGGAAGGGUCAUUGCCAAGAUCGUUGAUCAAUUGCCAAAGGUUGGAAGUUCUAGAUCUUGGUAACAUGGCGCCUUCCCUCAUUGGUUGGAGAGUCUUCCAGAGUUACGGGUUCUUGUUUCGCGAUCAAACAAGUUUCAUGGUGCCAUAGCCAAUCCCAAAACCAAAUUCUCUUUCCCUAAUUUGCGAAUCAUAGACCUCUCACACAAUGAAUUCCAUGGUCUUUUGCCAACAAAAUAUUUCAAUCAUUUCAAAGCCAUGAUGGGCAUGAAUGCAAAUAAUGGUAAAUUGAAAUAUAUGGGUGAAAGCUGUUAACACGAUUCUAUGAUGGUCACCAUGAAAGGAUUUUAUAUUGAAAUGGUGAAAAUCCAAUAUCUCUUUACAACCAUUGAUUUCUCAAACAAUAGUUUCAAAGGGGAGAUUCCAAAGUCAAUUGGAAUGCUUAAGUCACUCAAGGAGCAUAACUUUUCACACAAUAACCUUAUAGGUCAUAUGCCUCCAACAUUGGGAAAUUUGAGCAAUCUUGAAUGGUUAGAUCUCUCCUCAAACAUGGUCAUAGGAGAAAUUCCAAGACAGUUAGCAGAUAUUACAUAUCUUGAUGUUUUAAAUCUAUCAUAAAAUCGUCUUGUGGGGCCAAUACCUGUAGGUAAUCAGUUCAAUACAUUUGCAAAUGUUUCUUACUUUGGAAACUUGGGGUUGGGGUUACGUGGAUUUCCAUUAACAAAACUUUGUGACAAUGUUGAGGGACAACAACCAUGCCAUCAUUAACCAUUCAAGACAAUGAUUUCAAGUUUGGGAAUUGGUUUCAUUGGAAAGUUGUAUUGUUGGGGUACAAAUGAGGGUUCAUGUUCGGAUUGACUAUAGGUUACCUUCAAUUCUCAAGUAAACAUCCAAAAUGGCUGGUAAAUGUGGUUGGCAAAGAACAACACAAGGUACGAAGAUCCAAGAAGAAUGCUCACAAAGGAAUUAGUCCAAGAAGAGUUUGGUGGAAACAAAUAGUGAUUUAAGGUGGAUAAGCUUUUAUGCUAGCAAUAGCUACACAACAAAGUAAACUCGCUCACUAUUGCAGAACUGCACGUUUUGGUCUAGCCCUAGUUUAUGCUAUAGUGCUCGUGGCCCUUUCUAUCCAGUUUUAACAGGCCGAAGGGACAACAUUUAUUCAUACUUCAACAAAGCACUGGCCGAGAUUCCAUGACUGGAUGAUAAUAUUAUACAGACACUUCCCCUUUUUGGCCUUAAGAGGUUUUGAUGAAAGAGAAAUAGUCUAUCUUUUAGUGCACUCAAAAUUGGGAAGAUUGGCUAUGAGUUCAUACAGAAACACCUCUAUGACUUCAAGGGGAUAGGACAGGUGACCCAACCAGAGCUUCUGAUUUCCUCACUGACAUUAGAAUGAGGUGCCAAGACAGUAAUAGGACCACCAGUCAGCCUUCUUCUUAAACCAUGGAAUCAUUGGAAAUGAGUGAAUCUGCAUGACUUCACAGCCAAUCAUUAAAAAGGGGAGAGGACUCCUUUUUGCUGAUCAGUAGUAGCUAGCUAAUGAGAAGACCGCAAGACUGGUAAGGGCUUAUGCUUCAGAUGACGGAUCAACCGCAAGACUGGACUUUGCUUGGGCAAUGAUGAAGAUGUCAGGGCUUAAUGUUUUGGCUGGAUCUCAAGGUCAGAUCCGACAGAACUGCUCCUUGCCUUUGGUCAGUUCCUAAGUGAUAGUCUUGACCGAAAUUGACUCUUGACAUCAUUAUUUUUUUCAUAUGAACUUUCUCUUUAAGUUCAAUGUUUGAUUGUAGAUGCAGUGACUUCUAAACUUCUUGCCUGUGCUAAUAUGAGUGUAUAUAUAGAGGCAAUGGCAUAGAAUAGACAUUAGACACAAUGAUGAAAUAUGUUGUGGCUGUUGAGUUCUUUAGAAAUAUAGAAUUACAAUGUUUGGAAUGUUACCAAAAGCUAACUAAUAUUUGGG